AGCAGUGGGGAAUUUUGGACAAUGGGCGAAAGCCUGAUCCAGCAAUGCCGCGUGAGUGAAGAAGGCCUUCGGGUUGUAAAGCUCUUUUGUCAGGGAAGAAACGGUGAGGGCUAAUAUCUCUUGCUAAUGACGGUACCUGAAGAAUAAGCACCGGCUAACUACGUGCCAGCAGCCGCGGUAAUACGUAGGGUGCAAGCGUUAAUCGGAAUUACUGGGCGUAAAGCGUGCGCAGGCGGUUUUGUAAGUCUGAUGUGAAAUCCCCGGGCUCAACCUGGGAAUUGCAUUGGAGACUGCAAGGCUAGAAUCUGGCAGAGGGGGGUAGAAUUCCACGUGUAGCAGUGAAAUGCGUAGAUAUGUGGAGGAACAUCUGAUGGCGAAGCAGCUCUCUGGGUCAAGAUUGACGCUCAUG
rnacentral:rRNA from 1 species